rnacentral:rRNA from 1 species
UACGGGGGGAGCAAGCGUUGUUCGGAUUUACUGGGCGUAAAGGGCGCGUAGGCGGCCACCGCAAGUCAAUUGUGAAAUCUCCGGGCUUAACUCGGAAAGGUCAACUGAUACUGCGGGGCUAGAGUGCGGAAGGGGCAACUGGAAUUCUCGGUGUCGCGGUGAAAUGCGCAGAUAUCAGGAGGAACACCGAUGGCGAAGGCAGGUCUCUGGGCCACUACUGACGCUGAGAAGCGAAAGCAUGGGGAGCGAACAGG